AUUGAACGCUGGCGGCAUGCUUUACACAUGCAAGUCGAACGGUAACAGGCCUUCGGGCGCUGACGAGUGGCGAACGGGUGAGUAAUGCAUCGGAACGUGCCCAGAGGUGGGGGAUAACGUAGCGAAAGCUGUGCUAAUACCGCAUACGAUCUAUGGAUGAAAGCGGGGGACUCGCAAGAGCCUCGCGCGAUUGGAGCGGCCGAUAUCAGAUUAGGUAGUUGGUGGGGUAAAAGGCUCACCAAGCCAACGAUCUGUAGCUGGUCUGAGAGGACGACCAGCCACACUGGAACUGAGACACGGUCCAGACUCCUACGGGAGGCAGCAGUGGGGAAUUUUGGACAAUGGACGCAAGUCUGAUCCAGCCAUUCCGCGUGCAGGAUGAAGGCCCUCGGGUUGUAAACUGCUUUUGUACGGAACGAAAAGGUUUCUAUUAAUACUAGGAGCUCAUGACGGUACCGUAAGAAUAAGCACCCGGCUAACUACGUG
rnacentral:rRNA from 1 species